AAUGAACGCUGGCGGCAGGCCUAACACAUGCAAGUCGAACGGAUCCUUCGGGAUUAGUGGCGGACGGGUGAGUAACGCGUGGGAACAUACCCUUUGGUACGGAAUAGCCUCGGGAAACUGGGAGUAAUACCGUAUGUGGUCGAGAGACGAAAGAUUUAUCGCCAAAGGAUUGGCCCGCGUUGGAUUAGGUAGUUGGUGGGGUAAUGGCCUACCAAGCCGACGAUCCAUAGCUGGUUUGAGGGGAUGAUCAGCCACACUGGGACUGAGACACGGCCCAGACUCCUACGGGAGGCAGCAGUGGGGAAUCUUAGACAAUGGGGGAAACCCUGAUCUAGCCAUGCCGCGUGAUCGAUGAAGGCCUUAGGGUUGUAAAGAUCUUUCAGGUGGGAAGAUAAUGACUGUACCACCUGAAGAAGCCCCGGCUAACUCCGUGCCAGCCGCCGCGGUAA
rnacentral:rRNA from 1 species